rnacentral:rRNA from 1 species
AGUGAACGCUGGCGGUAGGCCUAACACAUGCAAGUCGAACGGCAGCACAGUAAGAGCUUGCUCUUACGGGUGGCGAGUGGCGGACGGGUGAGGAAUACAUCGGAAUCUACUUUUUCGUGGGGGAUAACGUAGGGAAACUUACGCUAAUACCGCAUACGACCUACGGGUGAAAGCAGGGGAUCUUCGGACCUUGCGCGAUUGAAUGAGCCGAUGUCGGAUUAGCUAGUUGGCGGGGUAAAGGCCCACCAAGGCGACGAUCCGUAGCUGGUCUGAGAGGAUGAUCAGCCACACUGGAACUGAGACACGGUCCAGACUCCUACGGGAGGCAGCAGUGGGGAAUUUUGGACAAUGGGCGCAAGCCUGAGCCAGCCAUACCGCGUGGGUGAAGAAGGCCUUCGGGUUGUAAAGCCCUUUUGUUGGGAAAGAAAAGCAGCAGGUUAAUACCCCGCUGUUCUGACGGUACCCAAAGAAUAAGCACCGGCUAACUCCGU